UUAACUAUUUAAGUUCAUUUGUCCGGUAGCCGCUGCACGGUUGUCUGCUUGUUUAAAAAGUAGUUUCCUAAUUGUAUAUUUGGCAUUACUGUCCAUUACUGAGAUAUACAUAAAGAAAAAUGGAAUUUCUUUUAAUAACUUUGCUGAUUUUUUCUGGGAGACCAAAUCCUGAAUGUCGGAUUAACAUUGAUGAUCCAAGUUUUCAAAACAUAAAAGCUGCCCUUCCGAUUCCACCAGGAACAUCAAUUAUUGGAGGUUUGGGAUACUCAGGUUUCAACGUAAAAGAUGUUACCGACGCCAGAACAACAUAUAUUGAAAUUCCAAGACGAUCCGACCUUGACCUAGAACAUCUUUUGUUCAACGCAUGUAGAUUCGACGAGAAUCUGAGAAAAUAUGUAUUCAGACCUGUAAUUUAACAAGUUAUAGAAAGAAAUUAAAACUGAAAUUUCGAACAGCAAAAUAUCAAUAUCAUGAAAAAACAAUUACUGUGUUUCUUAACAUAUAUAUUGUUUAAUGAUAUAAAUAAAUGCAAUUAUAGUACUUUA